rnacentral:SRP_RNA from 1 species
GCCGGGCGAGGUGGCAGGCGCCUGUAGUCCCAGCUACCCAGGAGGCUGAGGCAGGAGAAUUGCUUGAACCCAGGAGGCGGAGCUUGCAGUGAGCCAAGAUCGCACCACUGCACUCCAGCCUGGGCAAGNNNNNNNNNNUUUUUUUUUUUGAGACCGAGUCUCGCUCUCUUGCCCAGGCUGGAGUGCAGUGGUGCGAUCUUGGCUCACUGCAAGCUCCGCCUCCUGGGUUCAAGCAAUUCUCCUGCCUCAG